rnacentral:rRNA from 1 species
UGGGGAAUAUUGCACAAUGGGCGCAAGCCUGAUGCAGCCAUGCCGCGUGUAUGAAGAAGGCCUUCGGGUUGUAAAGUACUUUCAGUCGGGAGGAUGGUGUCAAGGUUAAUAACCUUGGCAAUUGACGUUACCGACAGAAGAAGCACCGGCUAACUCCGUGCCAGCAGCCGCGGUAAUACGGAGGGUGCAAGCGUUAAUCGGAAUUACUGGGCGUAAAGCGCACGCAGGCGGUCUGUCAAGUCGGAUGUGAAAUCCCCGGGCUCAACCUGGGAACUGCAUUCGAAACUGGCAGGCUAGAGUCUUGUAGAGGGGGGUAGAAUUCCAGGUGUAGCGGUGAAAUGCGUAGGGAUCUGGAGGAAUACCGGUGGCGAAGGCGGCCCCCUGGACAAAGACUGACGCUCAGGUGCGAAAGCGUGGGGAGCAAACAGG